UGGGAUUUAGCUCAGUGGUGGUGUAAGCACCUGCCUGGCAAGUGCAUGGUUGUAAGUUCAAUUCUUGCUAUCACAA
rnacentral:tRNA from 1 species